GGAAUAUUGGACAAUGGGGGAAACCCUGAUCCAGCGACGCCGCGUGGGUGAUGAAGGCUUUCGGGUCGUAAAGCCCUGUCAGGAGGAAAGAAUGCUCCUAUGGUAAAUAUCUAUAGGAAGUGACGGUACCUCCACAGGCAGCACCGGCCAACUCCGUGCCAGCAGCCGCGGUAAGACGGAGGGUGCAAGCGUUGCUCGGAAUUACUGGGCGUAAAGGGUGCGUAGGCGGCCUUUCAAGUCUGGCGUGAAAGCCCAGGGCUCAGCCCUGGAAGUGCGCUAGAAACUGGAGGGCUAGAGUAUCGGAUGGGAGAGUGGAAUUCCUGGUGUAGCGGUGAAAUGCGUAGAUAUCAGGAGGAAUACCGGUGGCGAAGGCGACUCUCUGGACGAUAACUGACGCUGAGGCACGAAAGCGUGGGGAGCAAAC
rnacentral:rRNA from 1 species